rnacentral:lncRNA from 1 species
CUGAGGCUGUAGGAACCUAUGUAACCUUAUAGUAAGGUUUAGGAACUAGUAGAUCAUUGUUAUAUGCCUGAAUUUAUCAGAAAUAUUAUUUCAAAUCUUUUGCUAAUGUAGCAUAGUUUUAAAAUUAAUGUAAAGAGUAAAAGUUACUCUCAUUCCGAUAAAUUUUAAGACUAUGAUCUCAUGUUUCUGCCACUUAAUGAUGUUGUUUUUCAUGAUUGAUGAGAACAAAAAAUAAAUAUGUGAUGGUCACAUAUCUCAGGGCAAGC